GGUUCUUUCGGUAAAGUCACGUAGAAGGAACGUAAUAAAAUAACAAAAAUAAAACAUAAUAAAAAUAAUUCUCACGACGUUUCGGCCACAACGCAAGCAGCCGUCCUCAGGUGAAGACCAGGUCUGUCGGGGAGACAGCGUCUGAAUGAAACACCACCACGCUUGGAGCGUCUAUUUAAGCUGGGUUGGAAGGGGGGAAGGGCUGCUUGCGUUGUGGCCGAAACAUGGCGUUCUCUGGUGUGGCACUGGUGGCGAGACGAGGCCAUGAAGAAGCCUGCAGUACUUGGUGCCUUACAAAGGGUACCUAUUUGGUGUUUGAACAUAUUAAGAAGUGUUUUAUUGCCAGAAAGGGACAAUUGUUAUACUUUUCUUCAUUAUUUGAUACCGGCGAACAAGAAGAACGUCCCAUGGAUAGAAAUCGUUUCCCAAACGCGACGACCCGAAAUGGACUCGCCGCGUAAUUGGUCGAGCAAGGGUCACGUGGGGUCGUCACUUUUCGAGUUGCCAUGACGACAGAGGACCCGGCCCACGUGACCUUCACCGGGCCUCCUCAUUGGACAGAGCCAGCGCCCCCCCUCCCCCCGCGUGGGGUUGCCACGGUAACGCGCAAGGCCGAUGGUGGAAUGCGUUCAAUUGCUUAAAGUUCGUCCUAAUUACGGCGUAGAAAUCAACAUUUAAGAGACGCGUCCUCACCGUCGCCAAUAGCCAAGCUAUUAUCUCCUCCACCGCCCUACCGGGGGGAGAGGGCAGGUAUCCCGCAAGCUCUGCGGGCAAUGGUUGAUCGCCUAGACUUGUUGUUGUUGUCGCUGCUUUGAGCUUCACCUCGCCAUGACUGCAAUCGCCAGGAGCGACCCACUCAGAGUGCCUCACACCUACGACGCUCAUUGUCAAGUGGAGGUGUGCAUUCAGGAGCCGUGCUCUGUCAAGUAUCUGGACGAAAAUGAAGUGUCCCAACGUAUUCUUGCACUUUGCUUCAACCUUGACCUCCUCAUCCGCACCGAGCUGCAACAACAGCAAUCGUCAUUGGAAACCAGCCCUAUAGAGUCAGAUGCUUUUCAAGCGGAGGCUGCGGAUGUUUUAGAAAAAAUAACAAGGACACUACAGCAUCUGCCUCCACCGGUUCCUGAGCUUGAGAGUGACAUUUUGGCACUUGUAAUUUCAGGAUUAUCUGGACAGCCGUGGUCUCUCGCUCUUCUUCCCCCGAGUGGAGGUUUACAUCAUCCACGGCCGGCCUGUAGACAUGCUGGAGCAGCCUCCACUUGACGAUUACUUUGAAAACGUGUGCAGACUAAAUCAGAUACUGGUUCUUAGUCAGCAGUUGCAAGGCGAUGUAUAUCAACUCAAUAGGCAUAAAUAUAUCGCACAUCGCAUCGCCGUUCUCUAUCGAGCGAUGCACCAGAUGGGAGACGUCGCCCUCCUGGCUGCCUACAGGAGAGACGUGGAAGCUCGCUUCCCCAGAAUUAAAGCCUGCCUCAGUGUGGAGGAGCCCGGGGAAGGCCCACCACCGACGCUCCCAGACCACCACGCCAAAUGGCUGUUACAGCUGACAAGUGGGCUGGUGAAGAGUCUCCUGUCCCUGCCCUACGAGCUCUCUGAGGGGCUCUCUCCAGCAAUGGCUCUGCUCUCUCACACCUCCUGAUGGUUCAACAUUGGUACUGUGGCUGCUGCAGUGGUGGCUGCCCGUUGUGCAAUGCGAGACACCGGGUCUUACGCUUGUGAGAGGUAGAAGCAACACAUGAUAAUGCCACUGCCCUCUGAUGGACAUUCACACUGCAAGUAGACAAAUAUGCAUGAGAUGAACAAGACAAGCCACACAAUUUAUUUGUAAAAUGGCUAUGAAUUGAUAAUUGCUUGUCUUCAAAUGGGGAAAAAGCCUCACCACUCAUACUUGCAAACAUAAUGUUGGCAUUGAUAUUCAUAACACUGGUCAACAAAAAAAAAUUCUGGCCUGGACUUUUGCAGCUGUUUUAAACUAAUUUCAGGGUGCUGAUUCCAAAUCUGAUCUCAGAUUUGCUCUAUCACAUCAUUUUUAUGCUAUCGGCAUACCCCAUUUUCAUUGAUUUUACCCGAAAUUAACUCUGUCACUUAUGAUUGAAAGUUGUUGUGAGUCAGUGACUGCUUUAGUGUUAAAAAAUGGUGCUGUAUUUUUAGGAUAGUGUGUUUAUAAUAUAAUUUUAUGUAGAUAUCCACAUUUAUUUAAUAUUUUUCUUCUGCAGUUUUUAUUGAAAAUGCAAUAUUUGAUAUCUCAAAAAUCUGAUGUGAUAGACAAAAACUGAUGCCAGAUUUGGAAUCAGCACCCCAAAAUUACAUUAAAAGCGUUGGGAAUACCUUAUGCCAGAAAAAGUGUGUUGACCAGUGUAUAAUUUGUCAUUGUGGUCCUUUCACCACUUAGCGGGAUUUAUUUAAAAUCAAUGUGCGUGAAAGUGCUACCUCUAGGCCAUGUAAUACAGAUUAGUGAGAGGAGAUAUGUAUGAGCGUAGCCAGCAACUCCGUGCAGUUGUGCAGUCACUGCACGUUGCUGUGUUAUUGUAAGUAUAACAUUUCCGAAUUAUAAUGCAGUACAAUUAAAGCAAGUUUUAGAUUGUGAGUUCAACUAUUUUUGCUAACGUUCCCUGACCGGUGUGUUGUGUGUGAAGGACUGGGUGUUUCUGUGUGAGUUUAGUUUCUUGUACAGUGAGUAGAGUGCAGAUCUGGCAGAUUGAGAGAGUGGGGAUUUGCCACUUGAAGAGGGUGCAGGUUAGACCUCUUAAAAGGGAACUGCACUGCAUUAGUGUUGACAAAACCUCGACAAAAAAAACGAGGGGCAAUUGUGCAUUACUUUAGGAUAGUUAGAGAUAUGCUUUGAAUUCAUAAAAAAUAAUAUUUUACAAAUCCUGUCAACAAGGUAAUAAUGGUUUGUCAUUUAGUAUAGUUUAGUAUAUACGAAUACACGAUUUUGUCGUCAAAAUUUGUGUAUUUUUGUUCUUAUAAAGGCCUACCUACACGCACUGCAAGGAAUGCAAUCCUGUCACCAGUAGUAAUUUGCACCAGAAUUUAAGUGGAUAGGAUCCAUCAUCAGACCCCAGUACGUGCAUGUGCACAGUAUCUGCAGUGUAAAAUUGUUCCACUAGAGAGCAGCGUGGUGUUACAUUGCUGUUGCUCUCACACUCGUAUGUGGCCAUUGGUUUCCAAGCGGUGAAUUCACGCGCUCUGGGUGCUGGAAAUUUCACCCCACAUUUGAGAAGAUAUAAAUUUGAGAUAAUGCAAUGUUGAGGUGCAAGCUCCAUACACUGUCAGGCUUAAAGAGACCCCCUUUUGUCCUUUGAGGGAUGUGUGUAAAACUCUGUUCAUGGAAAAUAAUGUUCCGUGCAAUUUUGAAAAAAUAACAUUCUCCGACACUGAUUUGUUAGCACUGAUGGGGCUUUGUGUCUUACAUUGAUUGCACGGUAUGACGUUUGUCAUUUCCUUACAGGAGUGUUCUUCGGCUAUGUUUUUUUGUGGGCCACUUAAUCAAAUACGCGUGUGCUGGCAAUGUCUCGCACAGGCAUGACAUCGUACAGUAUCUUGAUGGACUGACAUCCGUAUGUGUGACUUCUAAUCUGUGUCUUAUCGCCAGGACUCGGCUCACUCGUUUAUCUCGCUUUCAUUUCAUCUUCAUUUCUUGUCUACAACUCUAUUGUCUCUUAUCUCUCGUUUAUCUCCUUCAUCUAACUCAUCUGUAUUUCAUCUCACUCGCUAAUCUGCAUGACAUUGCCACGCGGUAGCAUGUUUCUCGCCACUUCUUGCAGAAGUUCGCGGCUCGGUUCCAGUGGCUGCCCUGAUAAACACAUUCCUGCGGAGGGAGCUGGUAGGAACGUUGGGUUGCUCGGUCACUGGCCAGGGUCAACGGCGGCGUGGUGUAUUCCGCAAAUAUGCCCGACUGUGAGGGCGGGCACAAGCCGGCGUGAGUAGGUUAAACGUUGAGUUUUAUAAGGGCACCACGGGGUGACCAGCCCCUCCCCACCCAGCCCCACCCCUCCCACCCCCCACCCAGCCCCACCCCCACCCAGCCCCUCCCCACCCACCCUCCCCACCCAGCCCCUUCCCACCCUCCCCUCCCCACCCAGCCUUCUCCCCACCCUCCCCACCCAGCCCCACCCUCCCCACCCAGCCCCUCCCCACCCUCCCCACCCAGCCCCUCCCUCUCCACCCAGCCCCACCCCUCCCAUUUUUGGAUGCAGGACGGACAGAAUAAUCCCCUGUGGGCUGGUGUAACCAGGAGGUUCCUACCAGUGUAACUGUGGGUGUCAUUACCGUAAUAUCGCUUUACUCCGUCAGCUUCGCAGUGGACGUUAGAGAGAUCCCCCGACGUCAUGCGCAAGAGUCGGGUCAUUAUGUCAAUAACCUGCAGAUCGUUCAAUUGGGAUUGUACGUAACAAUCGUUGCACUCUUCUGGAACACUGUUCCAGGUUACUCUUGCAAUUGAGACUAUCCUGAUUACUCUCUUCGAGUCCUCACCUGGUGAACAAAAUUAACUUGAAAUGUAACUUUGUCUUGGUGAGCGAAAUCUCUCGCUGGGCCAGCCCACAGGCCACCAUUUCGAGAAUCUUGCCUUAUGCAACAUUCACAAGUAUUUUAUCAUCAUAUCAAAAUGUCUUAAACUGCACUUGUAAAUAUGCAAACUGUAUACUGUAAUGUACGUAUAUUCCUAAAUGUUGAUAAUCUUAAUGUAAACAUUGUUGUAAACAUUCAUGUGUAUAUUUAAUAAAAUGUUUUUUUUUGUAUUAUUGCCCAUCUGUUAGUGGCGCACAAUCACGCUCAUGAAGUUCAAUUAUAAACUAAAAUUACCCUAAAGUUGUGUUGCUCUUAGGGACUUGCCCAAUAGUAAACUGGUCAUUUGAUGGUAGGUUUGCCCAAAACGUGCAGGCAGCCCAGAGUACCAAGGAUAACAUGUAUUUGCAAAUGUCAAAAUGCAUUUUGCCCUGACAGCAGGCCCGUUGGCUUCCAUCCUGCUAAUUCAACAUUUCUGAGAACCAACCCACUUGGGAAAGUGUUUAAGAAUACAUUCAUAUGCAUGAGAUUUCUUCCUUGUUUUAUUUGAAAGGUAAUAUUGAUUGAGCAGCCUUCAAACAGCGUUCGGAAAAUGCGCGGCAGCUCCUGCGUAAUUUCUAAUUUUAUGCUAUCACUGUUGUGGGCCAAGUGCAGGUCUCAUCCCAAGGCAAUGCAUUGACUGUGAAAAAAUUAUACAAUAACUUAAAGUUACGGAAUUAUUUAAUUCUUACACCUCGAGCAGUCAGCAUCUGCCCAUAGGUUUACAAUGUCUCCCCCAAUGUUCUUAAAAAACGAUUAUAUGAAUGUUCCAGAUCAUUCCAACAGUUUUUCUUAUUAAUGCUCCUUUGACCUGACCAACGUAACCAUUUAAUUAAAACAAAAUGAUUCACGCCAUUAAAUGUCUGAAAAACAAUAUGCACGAAAAUAUGAUAAUAUGUAACAAAAAAAAUUAUUGGAAAUAUAAAUGUGACCUUUGCAUGUGGAGCUACUGGGAAUAUAUUAGAUUUUUAAUACCAUUUGACGACUCCCAAAUUGCAGUCCUCAUGCCCCCUUAUCACCAACCACGCACGAGCCAAGAACCUCUUCGUUUGCUCCCUCCCACCACUGCCAAUCUCACUGCUCGCACUCACCAAUCUCAUCACUUCAUCUCGCCACUCGCUCGCCAAUCUUAAUUACCCUCUCCGCACUCACAAAUCUCACCCCAUGCAUCUUCUCACCACUCGCCAAUCUCGUCAAUACCCUGUCAUCACUCGCUAAUCUCGUCACACCCUCUCCCAUCACUUACUCUGACCCUCUCACCACUCAUUCGCCAACCUAAUAACUCACCACUUACAAAUAUCACCGUGCACCAAUCUUGUCCAUACCCUGCCACAGUUCACGACUAAUCACACCCUCUCUGCACUCAUCAAUCUAGUUGCUCGCUCUCAACUCGCCCAUCUGCACCACUCAUCUCUGCGCACUUGCCAAGCUCACAACUUGCGUGGAGGCAGGAAAUCGUGGAGUGGCUCCUUCACAACCUCAGCUCCGGUUCGGGACUCUGGAGUGUACCGAGUGACCCCAGCUGAGCGAGUGACCCCAGCUCCACUCCAGUUGUAAAAACUCCACUUGCACCUCCAGGGCAUCGGAGUCAGAGCUGGAAUCUGUCUGCCCAUCCCAAAUGUGAACCAAUUCGAUAUAAACAACGUACACGAAUUGGAAAAAACCCGUCGAUUCUGACACGCAAAAUGUGAUGCAUUUAUCGUGAACGAGAAGAAUCUGUGUUG